rnacentral:rRNA from 1 species
GAUCGAUGGCUCAGGAUGAACGCUGGCGGCGUGCCUAACACAUGCAAGUCGAACGAAGCAUUUCCUGGAGAUUCGUCGAAGAGGGAUUUGACUUAGUGGCGGACGGGUGAGUAAUGUAUGAGCAACCUGCCUUUCAGAGGGGGACAACAGUUGGAAACGACUGCUAAUACCGCAUAAUGUAUUUAGGGGGCAUCCCCUGGAUACCAAAGGAGCAAUCCGCUGAAAGAUGGGCUCAUAUCUGAUUAGUUAGUUGGUGGGGCAACGGCCUACCAAGACUGCGAUCAGUAGCCGGACUGAGAGGUUGAACGGCCACAUUGGGACUGAGAUAUGGCCCAGACUCCUACGGGAGGCAGCAGUGGGGAAUAUUGGGCAAUGGACGAAAGUCUGAACCCGAGCAACGCCGCGUGAACGAAGAAGUAUUUCGGUAUGUAAAGUUCUUUUAUUUGGGAAGAAAUACAUUGACUGUACCAAAUGAAUAAGCUCCGGCUAACUACGUGCCAGCCGCAGC